GGGGCGGAUGGCACGAGAAGUGUCGGCAAGGGUGUGUGCUUGUCGGCGUUUUUGAAUCUGGUGCACAAGGUUCAAGUGUAAAUCGUCUAUGGUGGUUCAAAUCCAUCCCGCCCCA
rnacentral:tRNA from 1 species